GGCCCAUCGGAGGAGCAUGUGGUUUAUUCGAUGCAACGCGAAGAACCUUACCUACUCUUGACAUCCAGAGAACUUAGCAGAGAUGCUUUGGUGCCUUCGGGAACUCUGAGACAGGUGCUGCAUGGCUGUCGUCAGCUCGUGUUGUGAAAUGUUGGGUUAAGUCCCGCAACGAGCGCAACCCUUAUCCUUUGUUGCCAGCGAUUCGGUCGGGAACUCAAAGGAGACUGCCAGUGAUAAACUGGAGGAAGGUGGGGAUGACGUCAAGUCAUCAUGGCCCUUACGAGUAGGGCUACACACGUGCUACAAUGGCAUAUACAAAGAGAAGCGACCUCGCGAGAGCAAGCGGACCUCAUAAAGUAUGUCGUAGUCCGGAUUGGAGUCUGCAACUCGACUCCAUGAAGUCGGAAUCGCUAGUAAUCGUGGAUCAGAAUGCCACGGUGAAUACGUUCCCGGGCCUUGUACACACCGCCCGUAAA
rnacentral:rRNA from 1 species